AACACAAUGUAAGCUUGGGGUUUCCCUGACUAAAUAAUUAGCGAAUAUUUGAACACCAGACCUGUAUGAGAGCAGGCUACUAGCUAUAAAUUUUCUGUAAAGAGAAUUAUUAAUAUUUUCCCCUGUAGUCACCUUGAAAAUUACCAAUUUCUUGGUAAGAUCUAUUUUUUAGUGGAUUUUUUUUCUACCCCAUAUCAUCACUAUCGGGGUACUCUCUUCAAGGGUCUAGGCCUGUUGGAAGAGUCUUAAGUUCACAACUUAAACUGAAGAUUCUCAGGUGUCUUUCUGCAUUUCUGAAGCGGUCCCUGUAAGACUAAAAUUUGUAUUCCUCAAUAAUUGAAUUGAACUUGGAUCUGGCUCUGUUGCCCAGGCUGGAGUGCAGUGGCAAUGCUCACUGCAACUUCCACCUCCUGGGCUUAAACCAACCUCCCACCUCAGCCUCCCAGUAGCUAGGACUACAGGCGUGCACCACCAUGCUCAGCUGAUUUUUGUAUUCAUUGUAAAGACAAGAUUCUGCCAUGUUGUCCAGGCUGGUCUCUAACUCCUGAGCUCAAGCAGUCCACCCACCUUGGCCUCCCAAAGUGCUAGGAUUACAGGUAUGAGCCUGGCCACAAUGUCAUAUUUUAAGAUAUACUAGAAAGAUACUAUACUCAAGACAGUACAGUAUUGGCGAAGGAAUAACCACAUAAAAGGAUGGAAUAGAAUGGAGAUUUCAGAAAACUGACUCAUAAAUGUGGUCAACUGAUUUGUGUAAAAAGUACAAUGCAAUUCAAAUGACAGUAUUUUCCAAAAACCGUGCUUGAACUGCAAAUCCAUAUGUCAAAAAACCCCACAAACUCACAAAAAACAAAGCCAAGAAAGCAUCAUGCUAUAUAUCACUGCACGUUUUUAAAAAAGAAAUUUGAGAAAUCAGACUUACAUGUAAAAUGUGAAACUAUAAAAAUCUUAGGAAAAAAACCAUAGAAUAUCAUCAUGACUUUUCCUGAUUUUGGUAUUAGGAAAUGUUGGCCUCAUAAAAUAAGUGACAUAUCUACUUUAUUUCUGCUCUGUUUUCCGGAAAAAAACAUUUUACAAAAUUGAUAUCAAAUUUCCUCAAAAUUGUUGAAAUCAACUGGGACUAACAUUUUCUUCAUUAGAGUGUUUUUAAUGAUGAAUUCAAUUACACACUCACACAAGCUCACAUUUUAUAUGUUAGCUGCAACCCUCACAUUUUGAUGCAGAGGCCAAGAAGGAAGCAAAGUACAGCAGUCCUCUGGGUAUGUUCAUGGAAACCCAGCCAGGGAAGUUGGCCUGGAUGGAGGGAGGAUUCACUAGGUAGGAGGUGUCAAUAGGAGAAAAAAGAUUGGAUUUGAAAGAUUCUUUAUCCUAAUGGAAAUGGGAAAUCAUACCACUUUGAUAAAAAAGAUUCCUGCAGAAAGAAAGGUAAAAUGCUAGUGAAAGGUAAAACUGGAGUGUAAGAGGAGACCACAGUUAGGAAGAGAGGCUCAAAAAGUUUGGCAGAAGUUGGCACAAGUGAUAAGCGCAUGAACUAAGGUGCAGGGAGUGGGAACAAUAAUGAAAGCCUGUAUGCUUCCUGUGCUCACGUUUAGGGGCUUGUCUGCUAGUGCUUUACAUACAUUAUCUUCUUAAUACUCAAAACAAGCCUCUGAGGAAACCUGGGCUUACAGAGAUGUUACCUAACUUUCUUAAAGACACACAUCUAGUAAGUGGAUGAGCCAAGAUUGGAACUCAGUUCUGGCUAUAAAGUUGCUUCUCCUUGAAUGAUAAUGGGAGAAUGCAUAAAAAUACUUUAAAAACAAAAACAUCAGGAUUUUUGAAUAACUAGAUAAACUGAAAGGAUAGAAAAAUGAAUCAAAUGGCUACAUAAAAGGAUAAAAGAGAGGAAGAGAAAUCAAAUGAAUGUGAAGUUUCUAAUUUAUGAGUUUGAGUAGUUUUUUUAAAAAAGAACAUGAGCAGAAGAAGGAGGGGUUUUUAUUUCUGGGAAGGAAGUGAAAAGUUUGGUUUUGGAUAUUUAAAUUUGAAUAAACAUAAGACAUCCAGAUGAAAAUGUCUGAUACGCUGCUGUACACAGUCAGAACUAUGAGGCUAGAAUUUAGUAAAACUCUGCACUACAUGGUUUUUCACAUGAUUGUCUUCAUAGCAUAGAAUAGGUAUUAUCCAUUUUCUUAAGUUGUAUUCCUGGUACCUGGCUCUUAGUAGAUGAUGGGUGAAUAUUCCUUGAAAUAAAUUACUAAUUUUCUCAAAAACUUUAUACUACAUUAGAUCUUUAUAAACAUUUAG
rnacentral:lncRNA from 1 species